GGGAGCUUGGUCUAGUGGUAUGAUUCUUCCUUAGGGUGGAAGAGGUCGUGGGUUCGAUUCCCACAGCUCCCC
rnacentral:tRNA from 1 species